UAAAUUUAGGACUUUUCUUAUUUUGAAGCUUCAUUGAACAAUUAGUGUUAGCCAAAAGUCUAACGUUUUUUUGAGGCAAAUUCUUUCUAUCCCAAAAACGUACUUGGCGAUGGUUCAAGACUCGGGCUGAUAUGAAGUAUUCAAGAUUCUUGUGAUCUGUAUAUACAAUCACCUAGUGAGAGGCACUUUUAAAAAAGUGGUGCCAUUCUUGGAAAGAAUCUACAAUAACAAGUAGCUCUUUAUCAUAGAUUUUGU
rnacentral:lncRNA from 1 species